AUACGUAGGAUCCGAGCGUUAUCCGGAUUUAUUGGGUUUAAAGGGUGCGCAGGCGGCCAUUUAAGUCAGCGGUUAAAUCGUGGGGCUCAACCCCAUUCUGCCGUUGAUACUGGGUGGCUUGAUUGCGGUCGAGGUUGGCGGAAUUCGUUGUGUAGCGGUGAAAUGCAUAGAUAUGACGAAGAACACCGAUUGCGUAGGCAGCUGACCAGACCGCAAAUGACGCUCAUGCACGAAAGUGCGGGGAUCGAACAGGAUUAGAUACCCUGGUAGUCCGCACAGUAAACGAUGAAUACUUGGUUUCGGCGAUAUAAUGUCGGAGGCAAAGCGAAAGCGAUAAGUAUUCCACCUGGGGAGUACGCCGGCAACGGUGAAACUCAAAUGAAUUGACGGGG
rnacentral:rRNA from 1 species